GCCCGGCUAGCUCAGUCAGUAGAGCACGUGACUUAGGAUCUUGGAGUUGUGAGUUCAAGCCCCACACUAGGUA
rnacentral:tRNA from 1 species